rnacentral:rRNA from 1 species
UCAGACAUAAAAGGUGGCUUCGGCUACCACUUACAGAUGGACCCGCGGCGCAUUAGCUAGUUGGUGAGGUAACGGCUCACCAAGGCGACGAUGCGUAGCCGACCUGAGAGGGUGAUCGGCCACACUGGGACUGAGACACGGCCCAGACUCCUACGGGAGGCAGCAGUAGGGAAUCUUCCGCAAUGGACGAAAGUCUGACGGAGCAACGCCGCGUGAGUGAUGAAGGUUUUCGGAUCGUAAAGCUCUGUUGUUAGGGAAGAACAAGUGCCGUUCAAAUAGGGCGGCACCUUGACGGUACCUAACCAGAAAGCCACGGCUAACUACGUGCCAGCAGCCGCGGUAAUACGUAGGUGGCAAGCGUUGUCCGGAAUUAUUGGGCGUAAAGGGCUCGCAGGCGGUUUCUUAAGUCUGAUGUGAAAGCCCCCGGCUCAACCGGGGAGGGUCAUUGGAAACUGGGGAACUUGAGUGCAGAAGAGGAGAGUGGAAUUCCACGUGUAGCGGUGAAAUGCGUAGAGAUGUGGAGGAACACCAGUGGCGAAGGCGACUCUCUGGUCUGUAACUGACGCUGAGGAGCGAAAGCGUGGGGAGCGAACAGGAUUAGAUACCCUGGUAGUCCACGCCGUAACGAUGAGUGCUAAGUGUUAGGGGGUUUCCGCCCCUUAGUGCUGCAGCUAACGCAUUAAGCACUCCGCCUGGGGAGUACGGUCGCAAGACUGAAACUCAAAGGAAUUGACGGGGGCCCGCACAAGCGGUGGAGCAUGUGGUUUAAUUCGAAGCAACGCGAAGAACCUUACCAGGUCUUGACAUCCUCUGACAAUCCUAGAGAUAGGACGUCCCCUUCGGGGGCAGAGUGACAGGUGGUGCAUGGUUGUCGUCAGCUCGUGUCGUGAGAUGUUGGGUUAAGUCCCGCAACGAGCGCAACCCUUGAUCUUAGUUGCCAGCAUUCAGUUGGGCACUCUAAGGUGACUGCCGGUGACAAACCGGAGGAAGGUGGGGAUGACGUCAAAUCAUCAUGCCCCUUAUGACCUGGGCUACA